rnacentral:lncRNA from 1 species
GCUGAAUCGGGAGUAUUCAGCAAGAAAAAUAGUUUUUGGUUGGUUUGUCUGAAAACCAACUAGGUUGUUUGUGAGCCCGAAAAAACAAACGGUGUAAAGUUUUUGGUUGAUUUAUCUCCAAACCAACUGGAUUGUUUGUGAGCCCGAAAAACAAACGGGGAUAGGUUUUCGGUUGGUUGCCUGGGAAAACCAACUGGAUUUUUGAUUGUGAGCCCGGAAAACAAUCAGACUGUAAUCUGCUAGGUUAUAGUGAAAUCUCAAGCUAGGCUUGGGGAGUGGACGUAGGUGAUGGGAGUGCAACGAACCACUAUAAACCUUGGUGUUUGUGUGUGUGAUUUAUCUCUCUUCCUCCAAUGCAUAUUUCUGAUUGCUUUCCUCAUCUUAUUCACUGCUUCAUUUGUGCAAUCUUAUUUCCGCUGCUAAAUCAGCAAGUUAUUGAAAGAUAAUAAUAACUCACAUUCUUCACACGUUUAUUUUUAAAAGAUCCAAUUCACCCCUCCCUCUUGGGCUGCACCUCUGGGCAACAAUUCAUCAUUUCAUUGUACAUCUUCAAAUGAACUCCUAUAUGAUGAAGUCCUUAGGACUUAUUUUAUGAUAAAGAAGGAUUUAUCUUCAAGUCCUUAAAACUGUUCACGAUCAAAUNN